GAAUGAUAGAAUAUCCUGAGUUGGAAGGGAGCCACAAAGAACAUCCAAGUCCAGCUUCUGGCCUGCACGGGACGCUCCCAGCAA